CCUACACAUGCAAGUCGAACGAAGUAGCAAUACUUAGUGGCAGACGGGUGAGUAACAUGUAGGUAUCUGCCCUUUGGCCUGGAAUAACACGAGGAAACUUGUGCUAAUACCGGAUAAGUCUUUACGGAGAAAGCUUUAUGCACCAUUGGAUGAGCCUGCACUUGAUUAGUUUGUUGGUGGGGUAAUGGCCUACCAAGACUGUGAUCAAUAGCUGAUUUGAGAGGAUGAUCAGCCACAUUGGGACUGAGACACGGCCCAAACUCCUACGGGAGGCAGCAGUGGGGAAUCUUGCACAAUGGAGGAAACUCUGAUGCAGCGAUGCCGCGUGAGUGAAGAAGGCCCUUGGGUUGUAAAGCUCUUUCGUCGGGGAAGAAAAUGACUGUACCCGAAUAAGAAGGUCCGGCUAACUUCGUGCCAGCAGCCGCGGUAAUACGAAGGGACCUAGCGUAGUUCGGAAUUACUGGGCUUAAAGAGUUCGUAGGUGGUUGAAAAAGUUAGUGGUGAAAUCCCAGAGCUUAACUCUGGAACUGCCAUUAAAACUUUUCAGCUAGAGUGUGAUAGAGGAAAGCAGAAUUUCUAGUGUAGAGGUGAAAUUCGUAGAUAUUAGAAAGAAUACCAAUUGCGAAGGCAGCUUUCUGGAUCAUUACUGACACUGAGGAACGAAAGCAUGGGUAGCGAAGAGGAUUAGAUACCCUCGUAGUCCAUGCCGUAAACGAUGUGUGUUAGACGUUGGAAAUUUAUUUUCAGUGUCGCAGCGAAAGCGAUAAACACACCGCCUGGGGAGUACGACCGCAAGGUUAAAACUCAAAUGAAUUGACGGGGACCCGCACAAGUAGUGGAGCAUGUGGUUUAAUUCGAAGAUACGCGCAGAACCUUACCAACACUUGACAUGUUCGUCGCGACUC
rnacentral:rRNA from 1 species